rnacentral:rRNA from 1 species
AUUGAACGCUGGCGGCAGGCUUAACACAUGCAAGUCGAGCGGUAGCACAGUGAGGCUUGGUCCCUGGGGGAGGCGCGGCGGGCGGGGGAGUGGUGUCUGGGAAACUGCAUGAUGGCGGGGGGUAACUAGUGGAAACGGUAGCUCAUACAGCAUAAAGUAGCAAGAGGAAAGAGGGGGAGCUUUGGGCCCCUUGCCCUCAGAUGUGCCCAGAUGGGAUUAGCUAGUAGGUGGGGUAAUGGCGCACCUAGGCGACGAUCCCUAGCUGGUCUGAGAGGAUGACCAGCCACACUGGAACUGAGACACGGUCCAGACUCCUACGGGAGGCAGCAGUGGGGAAUAUUGCACAAUGGGCGCAAGCCUGAUGCAGCCAUGCCGCGUGUGUGAAGAAGGCCUUCGGGUUGUAAAGCACUUUCGGCGAGGAAGAAGGUCGUGAGGUUAAUACGUUCAUGAAUUGACGUUACCCGCAGAAGAAGCACCGGCUAACUCCGUG